AGACAGACAGCUUGGCUCUCAUUGGUCAGUCACUCUUGAGGGUGUGGCCAUCUCAAGCAUAAAACGCGGUUGCAGGCAGACUAUCCCAUCAGAGAGACCCCAGAGUUUAUCCGUGAUUUCCAGGUCAUCAUCCGGUGAAAUGCGACUCUAUAUGACGAUGUUCUUUGUUUUUGUAGUUCUUCUGGGAAUGCUAGCCGAAGGGGAAGGGACCCCAUAUGGAGGUGGAGGAAGCCCAGCUAAACCACCACCACAGUGCUGCCCACCCUACUGCCCCUGCUGUGACCCACGCAAGCCUUGUACAUGCAGUGCCCCAUGCCCAUCUGGUCCAGGAGGUUCCGUCUGGAAGUGAAUUUGAAGAUGUUAAUGAAAACGAGAUGUCGUUAGUCACAUAAUUAAAAGUUUAAAAU